rnacentral:rRNA from 1 species
UACGUAGGGUGCGAGCGUUGUCCGGAAUUACUGGGCGUAAAGAGCUCGUAGGUGGUUUGUCGCGUUGUUCGUGAAAACUCACAGCUCAACUGUGGGCGUGCGGGCGAUACGGGCAGACUGGAGUACUGCAGGGGAGACUGGAAUUCCCGGUGUAGCGGUGAAAUGCGCAGAUAUCGGGAGGAACACCAGUAGCGAAGGCGGCACUCUGGGCCGGUACUGACGCUGAGGAGCGAAAGCGUGGGGAGCGAACAGG